rnacentral:rRNA from 1 species
GGUUACUGCUAUCGGGGUCCGACUAAGCCAUGCGAGUUGAGAGGGGUAAGCCCUCGGCAUACUGCUCAGUAACACGCGGAUAACCUGCCCUUGGGUUCGGGAUAACCCCGGGAAACUGGGACUAAUACCGGAUAGAUCAGAGAAACUGGAAUGUUCUCUGGUUCAAAACUCCGGUGCCCAAGGAUGGGUCUGCGGCCUAUCAGGUAGUAGUGGGUGUAACGUACCUACUAGCCAGCGACGGGUAAGGGUUGUGAGAGCAAGAUCCCUGAGAUGGAUUCUGAGACAUGAAUCCAGGCCCUACGGGGUGCAGCAGGCGCGAAAACUUUACACUGCGGGAAACCGCGAUAAGGGGACCCCGAGUGCCAGCACCUAGUGCUGGCUGUCCUACUGUCUAAAUAACAGUGGUUAGCAAGGGCCGGGCAAGACCGGUGCCAGCCGCCGCGGUAACACCGGCGGCCCGAGUGGUAACCGUUUUUAUUGGGUUUAAAGGGUCCGUAGCCGGCUUACUAAGUCUCUUGGGAAAUCUGGCGGCUCAAUCGUCAGGCGGCCAAGAGAUACUGGUAGGCUUGGGACCGGGAGAGGUGGGAGGUACUCCAGGGGUAGGGGUGAAAUCUCGUAAUCCUUGGGGGACCACCGAUGGCGAAGGCAUCCCACCAGAACGGGUCCGACGGUGAGGGACGAAAGCUGGGGGCACGAACCGGAUUAGAUACCCGGGUAGUCCCAGCUGUAAACGAUGCUCGCUAGGUGUCAGGUGCGGUGCGACCGCAUCUGGUGCCGCAGUGAAAACUUGAAGCGAGUCACCUGGGAAGUACGGUCGCAAGGCUGAAACUUAAAGGAAUUGGCGGGGGAGCACUACAACGGGUGGAGCCUGCGGUUC